CAGCCGCCGCGGGAAUACGUAGGGUGCAAGCGUUAAUCGGAAUUACUGGGCGUAAAGCGUGCGUAGGUGGUGGUUUAAGUCCGUUGUGAAAGCCCUGGGCUCAACCUGGGAAUUGCAGUGGAUACUGGGUCACUAGAGUGUGGUAGAGGAUAGUGGAAUUUCCGGUGUAGCAGUGAAAUGCGUAGAGAUCGGAAGGAACAUCUGUGGCGAAGGCGACUAUCUGGGCCAACACUGACACUGAGGCACGAAAGCGUGGGGAGCAAACAGGAUUAGAUACCCCAGUAGUCCCUGUCUCUUAUAC
rnacentral:rRNA from 1 species